CUUCCUACGGGACGCAGCAGUGGGGAAUCUUGCGCAAUGGGCGGAAGCCUGACGCAGCGGCGCCGCGUGCGGGACGAAGGCCUUCGGGUCGUAAACCGCUUUCAGCAGGGACGAGGCCCUCAUGGUGACGGUACCUGCAGAAGAAGCCCCGGCUAACUACGUGCCAGCAGCCGCGGUAAUACGUAGGGGGCGAGCGUUAUCCGGAUUCAUUGGGCGUAAAGCGCGCGUAGGCGGCCUGUUAGGUCGGGGGUCAAGUACCGGGGCUCAACCCCGGUGCGCCCCCGAUACCGGCAGGCUUGAGGCAG
rnacentral:rRNA from 1 species